CCAAUGCAGGCCGCUUUAUUCGACUAUUCCCGUCGCGCUGCAAUUGCAGCCUUACUCGUGUGUAAACCGGCCCUAAGCCUAAACACUGGAACCAUCGGGUUCGUUAAGGCCUUUAACUGCUUCAGCAAAGCUUUUGUACAGGCCGUUGUAAGGUCAUCGUUUGCCACCCUUCAGACCGCGUCGGCCUUUCGAACAUCAUUCAAGACUCGCGUACCGUUACGUACCUUGCAUACGGGUAGCAGCAGUCUCUUAUCGGAUAAUAGAUAAUCAUUUUGAAGUGCGCCCGAGUGACAUUUCGCAAUAUAAUAUCUUACUCCAGCAUGUGGGUCUUGUUGAAAAUCCACACCACGUGGAUCUUCGAGGACGCAUUUAACGACGGCAUCCGGUUCCUCUUCUCUGGGGCCGAGCUCCUUUGUAAUGCAUCAGGAUGUGGACCGUGUCGGCGGGAAGCAACGUAUCUCCCUGAGAAACUCACGGCAGUCUUUUCAAUGUCCGCGGUGAUCCCCUUUUCUGCGAACUAACCAAAAAGGAGGCUCGUUUUACAUAGCCUGAAAAAAAAUUCUCAUCGCGCUAAGACUCGAUCUCUGGUGUGGUCGUUUUUAAUUUUUUUUUUUUCUUUCUUUCAGUGUAAACUUCAAACACGAUUUUUUUUUUCUUGCCCUCAAAGACACCACCACGCUCCCGAAGCAGGCUUCUCUCGGUUCGCUAACUCCGUACGGAUUUACGGCGCGUUACGGCGUUUCGAAAAUUUUCAAUUAUUGGUGGCCAUGCACUGUACAGUCUCUCGCGGACAAAAACGCAAAUACGAAUAAUAGAAAAUUCAGGUCGUCGCCUGGCGAUGCUCUAAGAAUUCACGAAUUUUUCUAUGGACCUUUCGAAACCUUAAGGAACUCUAAGAAACGGGAUGCAGCUGCCGUGCGCAUUUGUACCAACCCCCACCGCUGCACGUUGCAGCGGAAUACGGACUUUCGGAUCUCAACUGCAUAGAGCGGCGGAAGAUUUUGUAUGCACUUUUUUUUUAUUUUUUAUUUUUUAUUUUAAACCGUUACAAAUCCUUCAAGCUGACACGAGCUUAUUAACGUUGUAAUCGUCCUAGGGAUUUUUCAAUAUUUCUCAUUUUCAGGGUCGUAACAUAUCUAUUCUUGUAUCUAUACUACAGUAUGUGGAUCCACAUAUGCAUUUACCGAUGCACAUUGUAUGCAUUUUAUAAUGCACGCAUUUGAACAAGUAUACAUAUCGAGUGCGUAAAGAGCCGUGGAGAAUGAAUCAGUCUUUGGUAGAGGAAGGGGUGCGUGCAUCGGGAUAACGAAAGGUCGUAAGUCCACCCCUCGCUAUGACGUCACCGUCCGAGCCUAUUCGUGCAAAAGAGCCCCUUUAAACGAUCACUUGAAAAAGGACCUUAGUCUCUCCCCGUAUUUCCUUCGUCCCAUGAAAAUUAUACUUGAGCCACUCCUUCGUCCGCUGCAAAAGGAAAUGCAGACGGCUUGCAGCUGUGAUCCACGGCCCCCAGAAAAAUUCUCUUCCGAGAUUCGUCUUAUCGUCCGCGUGACACUUUUAUAUUUUUAGAAACAGAUUAGUGACUCUUGGGAAUGGGAAAGAUAAAAUUUCUCCCUUCAACGUGAAAAUUCUGUUUUACGGUUCGAUUUACUUGGCGCAAGUUGGUCCAUCGGAUUGAUGCUGCGUCUUGCUGUCUGUAGAUGGAAAAGCGAAUGGAAAGUUUUUUUUCGGACUUUUUCCCGUCUGUCGAUUUUUCUCGGAAGAGUAGGGGCAGGGGGGCAAGGGUCACAUUAUCGAUUCAUACGCAGACACUAGGGACGAUCUCUUGUUCAUUGGAGUAAAAUAUAUUCUGGCCAAGCCCCGUGUUUACGCUUACCAAUCAAUAUACUCGCCCCGCGUUCAUUAGUAUCUUAUGCACUCUUUUAGAUUUCAUCGUUGUACUUUAUAUGUUACUCUUAUUUUCGCGCCACCCUGUAUAUGCUGUACAUCGAGGGCAGAUCGUGCCUAUGCAUUUUGGAUGCAGUGUCUGAUCUUUAGUGAGACCCAUCGCGCACGCUGCGUACCAACUGGACCAGCAUCCUAUAAACAGAACACGCCAGGCGACGUGGAGUUGAAACAGAUUUUAUUCCUGAAAAUUGCAGCUGCUUGAGAGCUAAUGGGUCGUGAAUAUGAAAAAUUCGUUGUGCUUUGG